AGAGAGCAGCGUUGCGAUUGCGGAAAAGUUUGCCGUAAGAAAAAAGUUUUUUGGACGGAGACGAGAUUUGGUGUGAUCGGCUUAUCUAAAGCUUAAAAUUUCACGACUUCAACCGAGAUUCAACAGACCAUACAUACUCGGCAGAUUGUGCUCAAUCAAGACAAAGCAAACAUGGCUCACAAUUUUGAACUGCUGUGCCGUCUUGCAAGAGAGUGAGAUUCAGCAACACAUAGAAAGACCACAGCAUGGAUUAAGAGACAGGAAGAAUCCAUUUGAAUACUACGAGGAUGAACCUCUCAGAGUGGGGUACCAACAGAGAGAACCACACAUUGCCUGUCAUGUUACAGGUUUUGACAGGACUUUGUUUUAUGUCAUUGGUACCUUUUAGAAGAUGCAAGCAGACGAAGCAACUAUAUCACAGUCAUCCGUGUGCAGAAUCAUCAAAGAUUUUUCUGAGGCAAUAGCAAGGAGUAACAGUCAAUGAAGUUUCCGAUGACGAGAAAUUCAAACCACCCAGCGACAAUUUGAUGAUUGCUACAGGUUUCCAAGAGUCAUAGGUGCUAUCGAUUGGGGCCAAUCCAGGCCAUGUCUGCAUCAGGAGUCCUGAUGGGGAACAAGCCUUGUACUUAGCAGGAAGAACAGGUCUUCUGUAAAUUUAUAGGUAUCCGUUGCUCCCCUCUUUGAUGAAUUCCUGCCUGCAUUCUGUUGUCAAUAGAAAAGGACGGUGUGCUACGGGUAUAAGCAUUCCAUUGGAUUAUCUGUGCAUGAAAGUGGACACUUGUGAUAAAAAAUGGUAGCUUGGUUGUAGUGGCGUACCUAGGAUUUUCCACAGGGAGGGCAAAACCGUUCGGCCGAAAAAUGUUACAAGUAAAAAAAAAAAGGUCUUCAAUCACAAAUAAAGGAUUUCGUACCAGAAAAAAAAUUGACAAGCAAAAAAAAAAGGUGUUCAAGCUCGUCAGGGGGGCAGGUAUACGUCCUUUGCAUGGGUUGUGGCUCGUCAGGGGGGGGGGGGGGCAGAGUGCCCCCCCCCCCGUAGGUACGCUAGUGCUUGGUUGAUAGGAUGUAUUCAUGCAUUCCGAUUUAUCAUUAGUGAUCAAAUGACCAUCUUGCUUUUUAAAAACCCAAGUUCACAACAUUUUUCUUGUUUGAUAAAAGGUUUGGGACGUGAAUUCCAGGAUAUAAAUGACACAUAUGAUGGGCUAAUGUAUAAGCAGGGACAUGAGAGGUAUAAGCAACAUUUUUUUCAUGCUUAAUUAAGUUUAGCAUGAGAUGGACUUGGUCUUUCUUAUGAUUCAAGUCUAUUUUAUACCAAUUUUGUUUUAAUCAACAAUCAAUGUUUUAAGUCUCAUGAUUUCAAUUUCAAAACCUCUUUGUUAAUUAAAUAUUCAUUUUUCCUUAGCAUUUGCAUCUUCUUAAUUUAUCAAAUUUAAAUUAUAAGAUAUCAUUUUUGCUGAAUAUCCUUUUUUUUCACCUAUUUUCAUAGGCCCUAAGAUACAUUUCUGUAGUAAGCACUAUAAAUACAUUGCAAGCUAUUAUCAUUUGUUUGAUAUUACUAUUUUAUAAAAUCAUCUUUUAAUUUCUUUCAGAAAGAUAUUUGACAAAUUACUUGUGAUAUCCAUGCUUUAGCUGUAGAGUUUAAAAUCUUCAUUAAACUUUAUUUAAUCCGUUGUUUAUCUAUUUUCAUUCAGAGUUUCUGAAAACGUAAACAUAUCAUUUGUAUCAUUAUGUAAAGAAUUUCAAUCUACCUUAAAAAGUAAUGCACUAAAUAAACUGCUCUGUCUACUACACAUGUACAUAUAAGUUUUGAUUUUAAAGGUCAAGUCCUCCCCAGAAAAAAAUUCGAUUUGAAUUAAUAGAAAAAAAAUCAACCGAGCAUAAUGCUGAGAAUUUCAUCAAAAUCUGCGUCGGUUGUAAAAUAGGAACGUUAUGAAAUUUUCAAGUUUGGCUUAUUUUUCACAACACAGUUAUAUGCACAGAUCAGUGACGUGCAAAUGAGACAGUCAAUGAUGUCCACAUGUUCGGGGGAGGGGGGGGGACUAAUCUUGGUUUCACUUGACAAUGAAGAGAAAAUUUGAAUAUUUUAUCUCGUAGAAUUAAAAGAAAUAGUUUGCAUGCCGACUGGGAUGUACAUAUAAGUUUGUAGUCAAGCAAAACUUUAAAAAUGUCACAACUUAAUAUCUUUACAUCAGAUUUUGAUGAAAUUUUCAGUGUUACGCUCGUUGUGUUUUUCUCUUUUUAUUCAAAUCAACUUUGUGGGGGUGGACUUGUCCUUUUAUAUCGUUUUCAAGUAAUUGUGUCAGGAGAAAACAAAAAUGAAAUUCUUUUAUCAAUUCUGUCCAUAUGCUGCAUGGUUCAUCGUUCUUGCAGGAGGCAAAAAAUAAAUUUAUAUAAGAAA